GAUGAACGCUAGCGGCAGGCCUAAUACAUGCAAGUCGAACGGUAAGUAUGAUAGCAAUAUUGUACCAAGAGUGACGUACGGGUGCGUAACACGUAUGCAACCUACCCUUUACAGAUGGAUAGCUCGGGGAAACUCGAAUUAACCCGUCAUAGUAUAGUUGAAUGGCAUCAUUUAAUUAUUAAAACUGAGGUGGUAAAGGAUGGGCAUGCGUCUGAUUAG
rnacentral:rRNA from 1 species